AGUUCGUCGAAAAGCUCGCCGGAAGGAAACUCGACAUUGCCAGUUAAAAACCUGCUUAGGACUAUGUCUGUAAUAUCCCUCACUUUUAAAAAUGUAUUAAUAAGGAUUUAUAUGUAAAUUGGGGGACCUAUAUGUAAAUAUAGAAAUUACAAGGACUAAACUGCUAAGUUGCAAAAAGAAAAAAAAAAGAAAAGGAAAAACCGAAAAUUCGGUAUUAUCCCACCGCCUCCCACGCACUCUGUUUCGAGCGGUGGGGCGUGAGGAGAAGAAGGAGAGUGGUUGAAGAAAAGAAGAAGAAGAGGGAAAAGAAGAGAGGAGGAAGAAGAGAGGAAGAAGAGGGAGAAGAGAAGAAGAUGAAGAAGAAGAAGAAGAGGAGGUGGCUGCAGCGAGGGCUGCAGCGAGAAGCUGUGGGGCGUGGGGAGAAGAAGAGAGGAAGAAGAGGGAGAAGAGAAGAAGAAAAAGAAGAAGCAGAAGAAGAAGAAGAAGAAGAAGAAGAAGAAGAAGAAGAAGAAGAAGAAGAGAGGAUGAUAGCUGCGGCAAGGCUGCAGCGAGGAGGUGUGUGGGGUUGGGGAGGAAAAGGGAAGAGGAGAAGAAAAGAAGGAGAAGAAGAGGGAAAAGAGAGGGAAGAGGGAGAGGAGCGAGAGGUGGCAGCAGCUAGGGCUGCAGCACCUCUGUUUCCUGCAGGUGGAAACAGAGGAGAGGUGGGGCGUUCGAAGAGGAGAAGAAGAAGAAGAAGGAAGAGAAGAGGAAGAGGAAGCAGGAGAAGAGGUUGUGAUACCUCUGUUUCCUGCAGAGGAAACAGAGGAGAGGGUGUGUGUGACGUCGGGGAGAAGAAGGGGAGGAAGGAGAAGAAGAGAAGAAGAAGAAAGGAAGGAGAGGAAGAAGAGAAGGGAAAGGAGGAGCUGCGGCUGCGGCGGUGGCAGCUGCAGCUGGAAGAGAAGGAGAGGAAGAGAUGGUGAGGAAGAAGAGAAGAAGUAGAAGCGGGUGAAGAGGCGGCACCUCUGUUUCCUGCAGGAGGAAACAGAGGAAAGGAGGUGCUGUUCGUCGGGGAGAAGAAGGGGGCUGCAGCUGCGGCGAUGGCAGCUGCAGCUGGAAGAGAAGAAGAAGAGGAAGAUGAGCAGGGGAGGAGGGAGAGGUUGCGGCCGUGGCUGCGGCCGCGACUGCAGCAGUUGCAGCGGGGAGAGAAGAAGAAGAAAGGAAGGAGAAGGAAGAGGAGAAGGGAAAGAAGUAGCUACGGCUGCGGUUGUGGCAGCUGCAUCUGUGGCAGGGAAAGAGGAAGAGAAAAAGGAAAGGAAGAAGAAGAGAAAGGGAAGGAGAGGAAGAAGAGAGGAAGAGGAGAAGGGGCUGCGGCUGCGGCGAUGGCAGCUGCAGUUGUGGCUGGGAAAGAAGAGAAGGAAAGGAAGAAGAAGAGAAGGGAAGAAGAGGAAGAAAAGAGGAAGAGGAGAAGGGGUAGCAGCUGCGGCAGUGGCAGCUGCAGCUGGAAGAGGAGGAGGAAAUAGAGCAGGGGAGGAAGAAGAGGCUGCGAGUGUGGUGGCUGCGGCCGUGGCUGCGACUCCGGCUGCGGCUGCGACGUUGGCUGCGGUAGCUGCGGCAGCGGUGGUGGCUGCAGUAGCUGCAGUAGCUGCUUUUGGGAAAGAGAAAGAGUAGGAACGAGAGAAGGGAAGAAGGAAAUAGUGCAGUGGAAGGGGGCUGCGGUUGUGACCGCAGUUGCGAUUGUGGCAGCGGCAGCGGCGGCGGCUGUGGCAGGUGCGUUUGGGAAAGAAAAAGAAGGAAUGAGAGUAAGAGAGAGCAGGUGACUGUGCCUCGAUGUUCGACACGUGAUGUAGUUACGAAGAAAGGAAGAAAACGGGAGCACAAAACGAAACAGAGAGAGGACACGGAGGAAAAGUAGAAAGAUUGGACUGGCACCUUCCUUGGAUAUUCAGAUCAAAAUAUUUGAAAGGUCAGCUUGUCACUCUUCGAGAUGUUUGAUUUGGGCUGAGGCAGUGGAUAGCUAUUCAGAAUUAUGGGCAAGUCCUGUUGGUUGUUAUGCUAUUGUUGUAUAAGCAUAUUUUGUAUGUAAUGAAUUGUUCUGAUGAUCGAAAUGGAUAUACUGUGUAAAAGUGUUAGAAGAUCUCUCUUAUUUGGAAUUUCGGAAUGUUAAGUCUAAUUUAUGACGAUAUGAACUUGUGGUGAAUAGUUGGAGUUCUGAUUGUAUAAUUUAUUUAGCUUGUGGAUUUAUAAAUGUUGUUCAUGUUUGUCAA